ACCGCCGACUCCUCCUCCUCCUAUCGGUCAGCGGCAGCGAGAAGCACAACAGGUUGGUUUUUUAUCGUUUGUAUUGUUAUCCGAUUACUAAACUGAAGAUUUUUACUAUAAUAUUAUCUUUGUGGUUUUUACCAUCAGAUACCCGAUUCACCUGAUUCUCCUGACGCCCAGCAUGCUGAGGACUUUUUAGAGGCUUUAAUAGCAGAAGAACAGAUACCCGAUUCACCCGAUUCUCCAGGAGCCCAGCACGAUGAGGACUUUUUUGAGGCUUUAUUAGAAGAAGAAGAAGAACAGCAGUCAUCUGACCCUUGGGAAUUCCCAUCACGCGGUAGCUGCAGACGCAGAACUCCUCCUCCUUCGAGUUCUUCAGAUUCGGUUAGUGGAAUUUUUGUGUGUGUGUGUGUGUGUGUGUGUGUGUG